GUGAAAGAGAAAUAUAUUAAGACUAUUUUGAGCCCAAAUUUACUUGUCUAUGAGUUGACAUUAAAAAUUGAGGAUUAAUGCGCUCCAUAGUAUACUAAUUUAAGAUUUCAAGAAAACCAGGGGUUAUUUUUAGUGGUACAUCCAUUCGGAAGGUCUCUUCUUUCUUAUAUGGCUUUAAAGGUAUGCUGAAAAUUGGCAUGAAGAAAGGUGAUAUCUGUACAAUUCAGGACAUACUUGGUUUGUAAGAGGUUAAACUUAAGAUAAAAAAUUUAGAAAGCUAUGAAAAUUGCAAAAUUUGGUUGAACAGAUAGGGACUUUUAAUUGGUGGUCUGACACCAAAAGG
rnacentral:lncRNA from 1 species